AUGCUCGCAGACCUCUCCGACUUCCGCGCCGCCCGGAUUGGCCCUUGGAUCAUGGGCGGCGACUUCAACAUGAUCACAUCCGUGGCUGAUAAGAAUAAUGACCGUCUCAACCAGCGCUCCAUGCAGCGUUUCCAUCGCUUCAUGGCCGACACUGAGAUCCGCGAUCUUUACCUACAUGGCAGGCGGUACACCUGGUCCAGCAAGCGGGACCCUCCUACCCUCGUGCGCAUCGAUCGCGUUCUUUGCUCGCCAAGUUGGGAAGUGGCCCAUCCCAACUGCCUCCUCCGAUGCCUUUCCUCCGCCGCCUCGAAUCAUGCGCCGCUGCUCGUCGACUGCUCCUCCCCCCUCCCUGGCCAUAAGCGGUUUCACUUCGAGCGGUUCUGGCCCAAGCUCGAGGGUUUCCACCAGACGGUCGCCGCCGCUUGGCAUGAGCUGGAGCGUGAUUCAGACCCGUUUCGCCGCAUCUUCGCCGGACUCAAAUGCACCGCGCGUUGCCUACAAAGCUGGAGCGCUUAG
rnacentral:rRNA from 1 species